CAGAGACCAAAAAAGAAAACCGGAUUCUGUUGGUGGAGAUUAAAUGUAAAAUGGCGUCCAUAGAGAGUGAUGUUAUGUUCACGAAGUAAAGUUUAUUUUCCCUCCAGCUUCGGUCGUCAGUCAACUUUGCAGAACAUUAUCAUCCAGAAACACAGGUGUGAAUGACUCUGAAGCAACACCUUGACAUGGAACAUGACUCGUUAUCAGGAAGGUGUCCCAGGGGCUGAGUCAUACUAGUCCUUUCUAUUUUGGUUUCCAUUUGUAUCGUCUCCUCACCUCUCCUCUCCUGUUAAUGUUUAUACAAGCUCCAUUACUCAACUGAACAUUUGUCAUUUUAUGUUUCCAAGCAGCAAGGCAGACAAAAACACCCCCAUAGUUCAUUGUGGCAGCUGCCUAUAAUUUUUCCGAUGAUUGAAUAAGGAUAGGUUCCUCUCCAAUCAACCACAGUGCCAAAGACAUGUUAUUUCUCAACAUUCAUCAGUGUUGGUGAUUUUGCCUAUGAAGCAACCGCAGAUACAAGUGGCCAGACAUUGGUGAGGCAACAGUUACAGCAAAUAUUUAUUUGAGAUGCAAACCGCAUGCCUCCUUCCUGUGAUUUGUGUUGUUUGUGUCGUGUUCUUGUGUCUGGUUUUGUCUUGUGUUUUCUUGUAUUUGAUUUCCAUGUUUUUGUAUCAUAUCUUGUGUCUCAUGUUUUCUUUUUCCAUGCCCUCAUGUGUCCUUUAAGUUCCCCUGUGUAUAUCCCUUGUCGAAUUUCCAUGCCCCUCUUCUGUCUCUGGUCCUUUAAUGUUUUUUCCUCUGUCUCCCUCUGUCUGUAGUUUUGUUUCCCUCCAUGUUUCUCCUCUGUGCUUCCACCGCUCAUUAACACACCUGGCCUCCUCCC